AUUGAACGCUGGCGGCUUGCUUAACACAUGCAAGUCGAGCGGUAGCACAGGGGAGCUUGCUCCCUGGGUGACGAGCGGCGGACGGGUGAGUAAUGUCUGGGAAACUGCCUGAUGGAGGGGGAUAACUACUGGAAACGGUAGCUAAUACCGCAUAACGUCGCAAGACCAAAGAGGGGGACCUUCGGGCCUCUUGCCAUCAGAUGUGCCCAGAUGGGAUUAGCUAGUAGGUGGGGUAAUGGCUCACCUAGGCGACGAUCCCUAGCUGGUCUGAGAGGAUGACCAGCCACACUGGAACUGAGACACGGUCCAGACUCCUACGGGAGGCAGCAGUGGGGAAUAUUGCACAAUGGGCGCAAGCCUGAUGCAGCCAUGCCGCGUGUGUGAAGAAGGCCUUCGGGUUGUAAAGCACUUUCAGCGAGGAGGAAGGUGGUGAACUUAAUACGUUCAUCAAUUGACGUUACUCGCAGAAGAAGCACCGGCUAACUCCGUGCCAGCAGCCGCGGUAAUACGGAGGGGGCAAGCCGUUAUCGGAAUUUACUGGGCGUAAAGCGCACGCAGGCGGUUUGUUAAGUCAGAUGUGAAAUCCCCGGGCUCAACCUGGGAACUGCAUUUGAAACUGGCAAGCUAGAGUCUCGUAGAGGGGGGUAGAAUUCCAGGUGUAGCGGUGAAAUGCGUAGAGAUCUGGAGGAAUACCGGUGGCGAAGGCGGCCCCCUGGACGAAGACUGACGCUCAGGUGCGAAAGCGUGGGGAGCAAACAGGAUUAGAUACCCUGGUAGUCCACGCUGUAAACGAUGUCGAUUUGGAGGUUGUGCCCUUGAGGCGUGGCUUCCGGAGCUAACGCGUUAAAUCGACCGCCUGGGGAGUACGGCCGCAAGGUUAAAACUCAAAUGAAUUGACGGGGGCCCGCACAAGCGGUGGAGCAUGUGGUUUAAUUCGAUGCAACGCGAAGAACCUUACCUACUCUUGACAUCCAGAGAACUUUCCAGAGAUGGAUUGGUGCCUUCGGGAACUCUGAGACAGGUGCUGCAUGGCUGUCGUCAGCUCGUGUUGUGAAAUGUUGGGUUAAGUCCCGCAACGAGCGCAACCCUUAUCCUUUGUUGCCAGCGGUUCGGCCGGGAACUCAAAGGAGACUGCCAGUGAUAAACUGGAGGAAGGUGGGGAUGACGUCAAGUCAUCAUGGCCCUUACGAGUAGGGCUACACACGUGCUACAAUGGCAUAUACAAAGAGAAGCGACCUCGCGAGAGCAAGCGGACCUCAUAAAGUAUGUCGUAGUCCGGAUUGGAGUCUGCAACUCGACUCCAUGAAGUCGGAAUCGCUAGUAAUCGUAGAUCAGAAUGCUACGGUGAAUACGUUCCCGGGCCU
rnacentral:rRNA from 1 species